rnacentral:tRNA from 1 species
GAGGGUAUAGCUCAGUGGUAGAGCACAUGCUUAGCAUGCACGAGGUCUUGGGUUCAAUACCCAGUACCUCCA